GACGAACGCUGGCGGCGCGCCUAACACAUGCAAGUCGAACGGAGCUUGAAGAGCUUGCUUUUUAAGCUUAGUGGCGAACGGGUGAGUAACGCGUGAGUAACCUGCCCUGGAGUGGGGGACAACAGUUGGAAACGACUGCUAAUACCGCAUAAGCCCACGGCCCGGCAUCGGGCUGCGGGAAAAGGAUUUAUUCGCUUCAGGAUGGACUCGCGUCCAAUUAGCUAGUUGGUGAGGUAACGGCCCACCAAGGCGACGAUUGGUAGCCGGACUGAGAGGUUGAACGGCCACAUUGGGACUGAGACACGGCCCAGACUCCUACGGGAGGCAGCAGUGGGGGAUAUUGCACAAUGGGGGAAACCCUGAUGCAGCGACGCCGCGUGGAGGAAGAAGGUUUUCGGAUUGUAAACUCCUGUCGUUAGGGACGAUAAUGACGGUACCUAACAAGAAAGCACCGGCUAACUACGUGCCAGCAGCCGCGGUAAAACGUAGGGUGCAAGCGUUGUCCGGAAUUACUGGGUGUAAAGGGAGCGCAGGCGGACCGGCAAGUUGGAAGUGAAAACUAUGGGCUCAACCCAUAAAUUGCUUUCAAAACUGCUGGCCUUGAGUAGUGCAGAGGUAGGUGGAAUUCCCGGUGCAGCGGUGGAAUGCGUAGAUAUCGGGAGGAACACCAGUGGCGAAGGCGACCUACUGGGCACCAACUGACGCUGAGGCUCGAAAGCAUGGGUAGCAAACAGGAGUAGAUACCCUGGUAGUCCAUGCCGUAAACGAC
rnacentral:rRNA from 1 species